rnacentral:rRNA from 1 species
GGUUGAUCCUGCCAGUAGUCAUAUGCUUGUCUUAAAGAUUAAGCCAUGCAAGUGUAAGGAUAAAUAUUUUAACCGUAAACCUGCGAAUGGCUCAUUAAAUCAGUUAUAAUCUACUUUAUUAUUACAUCCUACGUGGAUAACCGUAGUAAUUCUAGAGCUAAUACAUGCAAAAAGUCAGGAGCAUUUAUACAUUACUGACGUACUUAUUGUGAUAAAACUAAUACAAAGCAUUCCAAACUGUAGCUUAUCUAAAAAAUUUGCUAUGGGCUUUGUUUUGAUUGGGGAGAUACGAUAAAUUUAUGAAUCAUGGGUUUAAAAUUCGUGAUGAUACGAACGAAUUUCUGCCCUAUCAACUUUCGAUGGUAAUGAAGAGGAUUACCAUGGUUUUGACGGGUAACGGAGAAUUUGGGUUUGAUUCCGGAGAAAAAGCCUGAGAGACGGCUUUUACUUCCAAGGAAGGCAGCAGGCGCGUAAAUUGCACAAUCUUAAUUCGAGGAUGCAGUGACAAGAAAUACCGAUAUUGGUCCCUACGGGAACAAUGAUUGGAAUGAGAACAAUUUAAAUACAUUAGCGACUAACAAUUGGAGGGCAAGUCUGGUGCCAGCAGCCGCGGUAAUUCCAGCUCCAAUAGCGUAUAUUAAAGUUGUUGUGGUUAAAAAGCUCGUAGUUGAAUUUGGAAAAAUAGUUACAUUGGAUCUUGACCAAGUCAAGUAUUCUUUUAACUUUUUUCAUCUUGUAUAUAUAUUUCUAAAAUAUAUAUACUAUUUUACUUUGAAAAAAUUAGAGUGUUCCAAGCAGGCAUACUGCACAUGAAUAUUACAGCAUGGGAUAAUGAAAUAAGACUUAGGCCUUAUUUUGUUGGUUUAUUUGGCUGAUGUAAUGAUAAAUAGGGACAGUUGGGGUCGCUUGUAUUGGGUCGCAAGGGGUGAAAUCCUAUGAUUGAUCCAGGACAAACUACUGCGAAAGCAUUCGACAAGGAUGUUUUCAUUAAUCAAGAACGAAAGUUGGGGGAUCGAAGAUGAUCAGAUACCGUCGUAGUCUCAACUAUAAACUAUGUCGACUAAGGAUUGGGGAAUAUUACAUGGAUGAUUUUCCCAGCACUUUGUGAGAAAUUAUAAGUAUCCAGACUCCAGGGGGAGUAUGGUCGCAAGGCUGAAACUUAAAGGAAUUGACGGAAGGGCACCACCAGGCGUGGAACCUGCGGCUUAAUUUGACCCAACACGGGGAAACUUACCGGGUCCGGACACUACGAGGAUUGACAGAUUGAUAGCUCUUUCUUGAUUUAGUGAUUGGUGGUGCAUGGCCGUUUUUAGUUGGUGGAUUGAUUUGUCUGGUUAAUUCCGAAAACGAACGAGACCUUAACCUAUUAAAUAGUUUGAUUAAAUUGGUUUUCGGACCUUUAAUUUGAUCAUUUUAGCUUCUUAAAGGGACUGUUCGUAUUUUAAUGGAAGGAAGUUUAGGCAAAAACAGGUCUGUGAUGCCCUUCGAUGUUCCGGGCUGCACGCGCGUUACACUGAUAU